rnacentral:rRNA from 1 species
CGGGGGCGGGGGGCGUUCUCGGGCGGGGAGACACUCGUGCCUUCUUGCCGAACAACGAACCCCGGCGCGGUCUGCGCCAAGGAACUUCAACUAAAGAGUGCCUCCGGUCGCCUCGGAAACGGCGUGCGUGCCGGGGGCGAAUCUUGUGCAAAACCAUAACGACUCUCGGCAACGGAUAUCUCGGCUCUCGCAUCGAUGAAGAACGUAGCGAAAUGCGAUACUUGGUGUGAAUUGCAGAAUCCCGCGAAUCAUCGAGUCUUUGAACGCAAGUUGCGCCCGAAGCCAUCUGGUCGAGGGCACGUCUGCCUGGGCGUCACGCAUCGUUGCCCCCAACCCCCAUCGCCUCUCCAAGAGACGAGGGCGGUCUGCGGGGCGGACAUUGGCCUCCCGUGAGCUUCCGCUCGCGGCUGGCCUAAAAGCGAGUCCUCGGCGACGAGCGCCACGACAAUCGGUGGUUGACAAACCCUCGUGCCCCGUCGUGCGCGGCUCGUCGCUCGUCUUGUGCUCUGUGACCCUGUAGCGUCGCGCUCGCGACUCUUCCGACGCGACCCCAGGUCAGGCGGGACUACCCGCUGAA